CUCAUCCUUCUCUGUUACAGACUGCACAGACUGAAGCACAGCCAAAGGGGUGAAAUGCAGAGCAUGAAGCUGACACAGAGCUAUUCUGCACCAAGAGGUCAAGUGGACAUAGAGUGACAGCCACAUGGUGCUUUGGUGCCAUGCAGGGCCUGGAGGGAAGAGGUCACACAACCCAGACUGGUCAAUCACAGGCCUUGAAAAACAGGAAAUCAGCUGAGUAUUAUCCCUAUGAGACACAUGUGCAGUGCUUGGUUCACAGCUCUUUCACUGCAGAAGAGGCAAGAAGUGUGCCUUAGAGGUGAUGUCCAGAGUUACAGAUCAAUUAACCUUGGAUGGCAGCACAUAUGGCAGUCUCCAAGCACCUCAGGUCAUCGUUUACUGUGUUGUUUUACCAGGAGACCUAUCACCUGUCUUGCAAAUUCCUGAGAACCAAAAUAGCAACAGCUGUACAUUGUCAUUGCACUGGGAGCCAUCCUGAGAGGAACAAUGCGCAAGGGGAGAAAUAAGACAAGGAAUAUUGACUUCAUCUGACAAGAGUCAAGCAAAGACUAUUUCCAUGAAGUGUUGUAACUAUAUUUUUGAUCACCUCCCUGUGGCUUGAGUAUAAUGGUCCUUGGAAACCCUAGGCUAUGCUAGAUUUAGGAUCCUAGCUCUGCACAGUUGACAGAGAAUAUAUAACAUUAUACUCGCUAGUGGCUCAAAGUCUGCAUUGU
rnacentral:lncRNA from 1 species